rnacentral:misc_RNA from 1 species
AGAGAACAAUGCCCCCCUCUAAAUUCAACUUAUGAAGCAGCAGAACUGUUCUAUUUGCAGUUAUUAGAAGUUAUGUUACCUUUUUUCUUCCUUCUCUACCAGUUGUGACAAGAUCAGACAAAAUUUUCCGAUUCUCAUCGCGAUGCAGUAUUGCAAGACUUGGUAUUUCUAUGUUUUGAUCAAUUAAUGACAACAUAUUUGUCUCCAUCUGUCACUAUACCUGCAGAAUGAACUGACUUCUUGGCUUCUGAAUCAUCCUUUCGGACUUGCACAUGCGAUUCAGCCUCGUGCUGGAACAUCUUGACGAGUUCUUGUAAUUCUAGUUUCCUCACCUCAACUUUCUCCUCGGCGAAUGGUUUAUUCAAUCCGAGAUAGAUCAAUCCGAUAGCAAUCAAUCCAGCUCCUAGCAAGACAAGGGCGAGAGAGAAGAAGGCAAAUGCAUAUGGGGAUCCCUCGUUUCCAGGUAUUCCGUCCACAUUUAUCCCAAAUAGCCCCGUGAUAAUAGAAAGAACAAGUCCACAACCCCCGAAUACCCCUAGAUUAUGUUGGACUCGAAGGCUCCGAUCCUGUAACCAUGCACGGACAGUACUCUGCAUGACAUCUUGAAUUGUAAAUAAGCGGCCACGAACUGCUUCUUGUUCUCCAAUCAUCUGUCUUGUGCUUUUUAGUAUGCCUUCAAGCAAAUUCCUUGCAGCGUUUCCCCUAAGAUGUUGGAGAAGCUCGAAUACAAUCUCUUCUCUUGCAUGUAAAGACCAUUUCACCCGUAUAACCUGUGUCGAGAGCCUUCUAAUCUCUUGAUUCAAAAUUACACUGAACAACUGCACAUCUUCAUGGGUUCUCCUGUUCAUGAACUUCAAUUCAGCUUCAUCAGCUGCCCCAAAAAUAUACUUCCGAUAUAACCUGUCAUCCCACCGGGCCAGGCGACAAGCUAGGAGUGCUACUACCUCAUGAAUUGUUCGCGGGACAUUACAAGAGCCCGCAGCGAGUAGUUCCUGGACUUCUGCAAUACCUAUCACAUUGAUAUUUGAUGCACAACCUUUAACAUGCAAUGCAGUUAGCAAGAAAUUUUGUGAUUGCCAUGAUCGUAUAACAGCUGGGAUAUCAUCUUCUUCAACAUAAGGAUCACCAACUGACUGCCCCAACAGCUCAAAUAGUAAUCCACCAGCAACUCUAACCGGUACCUCAUAAAGA